rnacentral:rRNA from 2 species
AGCAGCCGCGGUAAUUCCAGCUCCAAUAGCGUAUAUUAAAGUUGUUGCAGUUAAAAAGCUCGUAGUUGAAUUUCGGGAUUCUACCGUCGGUCGGGCUACCAAGUCUGUACUGGUGUGUAGAAUUCCUACCUUCUGGGGAACCAUCAUGUUAUUAAUUUAGCGUGGUGGGAAACCAGGACCUUUACCUUGAAAAAAUUAGAGUGUUCAAAGCAGGCUUAUGUCUGAAUACAUUAGCAUGGAAUAAUAGAAUAGGACGGUGGUCCUGUUUUGUUGGUUUCUGAAUCACCGUAAUGAUUAAUAGGGAUAGUUGGGGGCAUUAGUAUUCAAUUGUCAGAGGUGAAAUUCUUGGAUUUAUUGAAGACUAACUUCUGCGAAAGCAUUUGCCAAGGAUGUUUUCAUUAAUCAAGAACGAAAGUUAGGGGAUCGAAGACGAUCAGAUACCGUCGUAGUCUUAACCAUAAACUAUGCCGACUAGGGAUCGGACGAUGUUAAAUUUUAUUGACUCGUUCGGCGCCUUACG